rnacentral:rRNA from 1 species
CAGUAGCUACGGUAAUACGUAGGGGGCAAGCGUUGUCCGGAAUUAUUGGGCGUAAAGCGCGCGCAGGCGGUUCUUUAAGUCUGGUGUAUAAGCGCGGGGCUCAACCCCGUGAGGCACUGGAAACUGGGGAACUUGAGUGCAGAAGAGGAGAGCGGAAUUCCACGUGUAGCGGUGAAAUGCGUAGAGAUGUGGUGGAACACCAGUGGCGAAGGCGGCCAACUGGCCCGAUACUGACGCUGAGGUGCGAAAGCGUGGGGAGCAAACAGGAUUAGAUACCCCUGUAGUCCCUGUCUCUUAUACA